CAGGAUUUCCCAUUGCCAAACCUUGGCUGGAUGGAGGAGGCUGCGAGGAGGAGGAAGAUAUCCCUGGGACCGCCAGGCAGACAAGGAGCUGAGGAAAGAGACCAGGGAGGACAAAUCCCCACGGCAGAACCUCCUGGAAGAGGCCGUUUUGAGUGGAUCCACAGCAGAGGAAUCCAAUGGGGAGGAAAAGCGCCCCGGAUCCUGCAUGAGGAGAGGCUCCAAACACAUCCAAAGGUGCCCUGGUGAGGAAACACCCACCCUGUGCCAGGACCGUGGCCGGAGAUCCAGCCAGAGCUCAGACCUUGUGGCCCAUGAGCAGCUUUGUGACAAAGAGAGGCGCUGUGAGUGCUUGGAGUGUGGGAAGAGCUUUGGCAAGAAAUCCUCCCUGAUCCACCACCACAGGAUCCACACUGGGGAACGGCCCUACCAGUGUGGGGAAUGUGGGAAGGGCUGCAGAGACAGCUCUGAGCUGAUCAAACACCAGAGGAUCCACACUGGGGAACUGUCUCCACGGGGCCUGACCGGGAUUGAGAGACUCUGGAGACGUUCUAGGUUCCGCAGGGCAGGGCAGGAAGACCCGAUGUUUAUUUACAAAGUCACUUAUAUACAUUUCAUAUAAUGACCAUCGAUUGGGGGAUGGAAUCCCCACCUCCUACUUCACACUGGUCAAGCUAACUGUCAAUGACCUUUUCUCCUCCCAGCUAGAAAUAUGUAAACAAUGGGAGACAGUUAGGAAAACAUGCCAAUGUUUACAUUUCCAAGCGGGAGAAACUGCCUAUCCAGGGACAGAGCCUCAUGGCAACAGGGAACGGCCCUACGAGUGUGGGGAAUGUGGGAAGGGCUUCAGAAACAGCUCUGAGCUGAUCAAACACCAGAGGAUCCACACUGGGGAGAUGCCCUACGAGUGUGGGGAAUGUGGGAAGAGCUUCACCCAGCGCUCCGGCCUCAUCCACCACCAGAACACCCACACUGAGGAAAGGCCAUACAGGUGUGGGGAGUGUGGAAGGGCUUCAACCAGAGGUCCCAGCUGAUCCCCCACCAAAUGAUCCACACCAGGGAGAGGCCCUGCGAGUGUUCCCAGUGUGGGAAGAGGUUUCAGACCAGCUCCCAUCUCCUCGUGCACCAGCGCAUUCACACAGAGGAGAGGCCCCUGCGCUGCCCUGAAUGUGGGAAGGGCUUCAAGCAGAGCUCCAACCUCAUCAUGCACUGGCACAUCCACACCAGGAGAGGCCCCACGAGUGUCCCCAGUGUGGGAAGAGCUUCUCACAGAGCUC